AUUGAACGCUAGCGGGAUGCCUUACACAUGCAAGUCGAACGGGUGGCGGACGGGUGAGUAAUAUAUCGGCACGUUCCCAGUGGAGGGGGAUAGGUACUGGGCACAAUGGCUAAUAACGCAUACUAUUGCAGAGGCCGGAAUCGGAUUAGCGAGUUGGUGGGGUAAAGGCUCACCACGGCAACGAUCCGUAGCUGGUUUGAGAGGACGACCAGCCACACUGGAACUGAGACACGGCCCAGACUCCUACGGGAGGCAGCAGUGGGGAAUAUUGGACAAUGGGGGAAACCCUGAUCCAGCCAUCCCGCGUGUGUGAGAAGGCCUUCGGGUUGUAAAGUACUUUUGGCAGGGAAGCGGUAUCUGCAGAAUAAGCACCGGCUAACUACGUGCCAGCAGCCGCGGUAAUUC
rnacentral:rRNA from 1 species